rnacentral:misc_RNA from 1 species
GAAAUGCGAUAAGUAAUGUGAAUUGCAGAACUCAGUGAAUCAUCGAAUCUUUGAACGCACAUUGCGCCCGCCAGUAUUCUGGCGGGCAUGCCUGUUCGAGCGUCAUUUCAACCAUCAAGCCCCCGGCUUGUGUUGGGGACCUGCGGCUGCCCGCAGGCCCUGAAAAACAGUGGCGGGCUCGCUGUCACACCGAGCGUAGUAGCAUACAUUCUCGCUCAGGGCGUGCUGCGGGUUCCGGCCGUUAAACGACCUUCAUAACCCAAGGUUGACCUCGGAUCAGGUAGGAAGACCCGCUGAACUUAAGC